rnacentral:rRNA from 1 species
UACGAAGGGAGCUAGCGUUGUUCGGAAUCACUGGGCGUAAAGCGCACGUAGGCGGAUGUGUCAGUCAGGGGUGAAAUCCCGGAGCUCAACUUCGGAACUGCCUUUGAUACAGCAUGUCUUGAGUCCGGAAGAGGUGGGUGGAAUUCCUAGUGUAGAGGUGAAAUUCGUAGAUAUUAGGAAGAACACCGGUGGCGAAGGCGGCCCACUGGUCCGGUACUGACGCUGAGGUGCGAAAGCGUGGGGAGCAAACAGG